rnacentral:lncRNA from 1 species
GCCGGGGGUGAGCAAGGAGCCGCGGCGAUGCGCACCGGGGCUGAAUGCUGCGGGGAGGAGCCGGGCCGUCCCUGCUCUGCCUACGCGGCCCUGGAGGUUGUGAAAUCUCCUCGGGCCGCCCCUCCGCGGGCAGCCUCCCCCUCAGUCACCACAAGUAUUUGAUAAUGCAAUGGCUGGAAGACCACUAACUAUCAGAUUAAACAGCUGGACACACUGGAUAUUGGCAGUUAUUCUGCUGCUAUGGAGUCAUCAAAUCAGUGGACAGGGACAAGGUAAGUGAAAAUCAUUUUACUACUGAGUUGUUUGCUGACCAAAAUAAGAGGAAACAAAUGUGAGCCUUUUGAAUGUUUUUUGUUUUGGUUUUUU